GGGGAAACCCAGUGUGUUCCGACACACUAUCGUUAACUGAAUACAUAGGUUAACGAGGCGAACCGGGGGAACUGAAACAUCUAAGUACCCCGAGGAAAAGAAAUCAACCGAGAUUCCCCCAGUAGCGGCGAGCGAACGGGGAGCAGCCCGGAGUCUGAAUCAGCUUGUGUGUUAGUGGAACGGUCUGGAAAGUCCGACGGUACAGGGUGAUAGUCCCGUACACGAAAAUGCACAUGCUGUGAACUCGAAGAGUAGGGCGGGACACGUGGUAUCCUGUCUGAAUAUGGGGGGACCAUCCUCCAAGGCUAAAUACUCCUGACUGACCGAUAGUGAACCAGUACCGUGAGGGAAAGGCGAAAAGAACCCCGGCGAGGGGAGUGAAAAAGAACCUGAAACCGUGUACGUACAAGCAGUGGGAGCACCUUCGGGUGUGACUGCGUACCUUUUGUAUAAUGGGUCAGCGACUUAUAUUCUGUAGCAAGGUUAACCGUAUAGGGGAGCCGAAGGGAAACCGAGUCUUAACUGGGCGUUAAGUUGCAGGGUAUAGACCCGAAACCCGGUGAUCUAGCCAUGGGCAGGUUGAAGGUUGGGUAACACUAACUGGAGGACCGAACCGACUAAUGUUGAAAAAUUAGCGGAUGACCUGUGGCUGGGGGUGAAAGGCCAAUCAAACCGGGAGAUAGCUGGUUCUCCCCGAAAGCUAUUUAGGUAGCGCCUCGUGAACUCAUCUUCGGGGGUAGAGCACUGUUUCGGCUAGGGGGCCAUCCCGGCUUACCAACCCGAUGCAAACUACGAAUACCGAAGAAUGUUAUCACGGGAGACACACGGCGGGUGCUAACGUCCGUCGUGAAGAGGGAAACAACCCAGACCGCCAGCUAAGGUCCCAAAGUCAUGGUUAAGUGGGAAACGAUGUGGGAAGGCACAGACAGCCAGGAUGUUGGCUUAGAAGCAGCCAUCAUUUAAAGAAAGCGUAAUAGCUCACUGGUCGAGUCGGCCUGCGCGGAAGAUGUAACGGGGCUAAACCAUG
rnacentral:rRNA from 1 species